rnacentral:rRNA from 1 species
ACGCACGCUGGCGGCGUGCUUCACCCCUGCCAGUCGCACGGUAAGGCCCCUUCGGGGGUACACGAGUGGCGAACGGGUGAGUAACACGUGAGCAACCUGCCCUUGACUCUGGAAUAACAGUUGGAAACAGCUGCUAAUACUGGAUAUUCAUCGUCUCCUUCCUGGGGGGUGGUGGAAAGCUCCGGCGGUCAGGGAUGGGCUCGCGGCCUAUCAGCUUGUUGGUGAGGUAAUGGCUCACCAAGGCUUCGACGGGUAGCCGGCCUGAGAGGGCGACCGGCCACACUGGGACUGAGAUACGGCCCAGACUCCUACGGGAGGCAGCAGUGGGGAAUAUUGCACAAUGGGCGCAAGCCUGAUGCAGCAACGCCGCGUGCGGGAUGACGGCCUUCGGGUUGUAAACCGCUUUCAGUAGGGACGAAGGGUGACUGACGGUACCUACAGAAGAAGGACCGGCUAACUACGUG